rnacentral:rRNA from 1 species
AUUGAACGCUGGCGGCAGGCCUACACAUGCAAGUCGAGCGGGGUUUUCGGACCUAGCGGCGGACGGGUGAGUAAUGCGUAGGAAGCUACCCGAUAGAGGGGGAUACCAGUUGGAAACGACUGUUAAUACCGCAUAAUGUCUACGGACCAAAGUGUGGGACCUUCGGGCCACAUGCUAUCGGAUGCGCCUACGUGGGAUUAGCUAGUUGGUGGGGUAAUGGCUCACCAAGGCGACGAUCCCUAGCUGGUUUGAGAGGAUGAUCAGCCACACUGGAACUGAGGCACGGUCCAGACUCCUACGGGAGGCAGCAGUGGGGAAUAUUGGACAAUGGGCGCAAGCCUGAUCCAGCCAUGCCGCGUGUGUGAAGGAGGCCUUCGGGUUGUAAAGCACUUUCAGUAGGGAGGAAGAGUUGAGUGUUAAUAGUACUCAGCUUUGACGUUACCUACAGAAGAAGCACCGGCUAACUCUGUGCCAGCAGCCGCAGUAAUAC